GCUCUGUCCAUGUUCUGUGUGGCUGCUGCUCUCUCCAACUUCUCCUGCUCUGCUUCUCCCCAUAGACAUAGUCCCCCAAACCCCCAUGCACACACUAGGCAACAAUUUGAGUUUAGACUGACAGCAUCGUACACACACACAGUAGAGAUUUAAUCCAACAUGGUUCUUACACUGUAAAAUUGUUGCUUUGAUCUGAUUAAAAACCACAGAGGCACCAUUUUUCCAAAUAUUUUUGUAAGUGUAGUGAUUGAGUAGGGAAAACUCAAUAAUAUACAGUAACUAACUAACACUAAAAUAGAUGAGGAGAGCCUUCACGGAAAAAGUCAAGAAAAUGAGUUCAACUGACAUUAUUAAAGUCAGCAUGUGAAAAAUAAUGUAUAGUUGAUAAACAAAUAUGAUGUUAACAUUUAAUUGUUUAUGUUUAAUAACAAAUGCAUUUAUGUAAUUAUUGUUAGUAGCAACAACCUUCUGUAAAACAACAGAAUACAUUGAAACUUAAACAUGUAAACAUAGUACACCAAAUCAGAGGUUAACGUCUAAAACAUAAAAGAAAGAACUUGUUCCCUCCAUAAAAAAAAUACAAUUUGACCCCCAUAAUUUCCAAAAUACCUAACCUCUAUUAAAUGUAUGUUAAGCCAUUUAGGCAGAAAAUACAUCUUACUUAAAAACCUUUACAGCUCCUACACAACAUUCAUUCUGGAAGACACUUAACUAAGCUUUACAGACCCGACACAGCACUGACGUGUGUACCUAGUGUUUCAAGAAAGUUGCCAGCAAUCAGUUUCCAAAAUGAUUAAACCUCUGCAAAGACAUUCAUGACAAUUUUAAAGUGCAUCUCAAUGUCUCAUUUAACCAUGAACUUCCAAACAUUUCCCAACUUUAAGCUCCACACUACACCCUACAUAUUGGAUCACUUAGUAUCAACACACAUACUAUGAGUACACAGUAAAAAGCCA